rnacentral:rRNA from 1 species
GUUUGAUCCUGGCUCAGAACGAACGUUGGCGGCAGGCUUAACACAUGCAAGUCGAGCGCUCUCUUCGGAGAGAGCGGCAGACGGGUGAGUAACGCGUGGGAACAUACCUAAUAGUACGGAAUAACGUUUGGAAACGAACGCUAAUACCGUAUACGCCCUUAGGGGGAAAGAUUUAUCGCUAUUAGAUUGGCCCGCGUUGGAUUAGCUAGUUGGUGAGGUAACGGCUCACCAAGGCGACGAUCUAUAGCUGGUCUGAGAGGAUGAUCAGCCACACUGGGACUGAGACACGGCCCAGACUCCUACGGGAGGCAGCAGUGGGGAAUAUUGCGCAAUGGGGGAAACCCUGACGCAGCAAUGCCGCGUGUGUGAAGAAGGCCUUCGGGUUGUAAAGCUCUUUCAACGGUGAAGAUGAUGACGGUAGCCGUAGAAGAAGCCCCGGCUAACUUCGUGCCAGCAGCCGCGGUAAUACGAAGGGGGCAAGCGUUGUUCGGAAUUACUGGGCGUAAAGAGUACGUAGGCGGACUGAUCAGUUGGGGGGUGAAAUCCCGAGGCUCAACCUCGGAACUGCCUCUUAAACUCCUAAUCUAGAGAUCGGGAGAGGUGUAUGGAACUCCUAGUGUAGAGGUGGAAUUCGUAGAUAUUAGGAAGAACACCAGUGGCGAAGGCGAUACACUGGCCCGAUACUGACGCUGAGGUACGAAAGCGUGGGGAGCAAACAGGAUUAGAUACCCUGGUAGUCCACGCCGUAAACUAUGAGAGCUAGCCGUUGGGAAGUUUACUUUUCAGUGGCGCAGCUAACGCAUUAAGCUCUCCGCCUGGGGAGUACGGUCGCAAGAUUAAAACUCAAAUGAAUUGACGGGGGCCCGCACAAGCGGUGGAGCAUGUGGUUUAAUUCGAAGCAACGCGAAGAACCUUACCAGCUCUUGACAUACCUAUCGCAGUCUCCAGAGAUGGAGACCUUCAGUUCGGCUGGAUAGGAUACAGGUGCUGCACGGCUGUCGUCAGCUCGUGUCGUGAGAUGUUGGGUUAAGUCCCGCAACGAGCGCAACCCUCGCCCUUAGUUGCCAGCAUUUAGUUGGGCACUCUAGGGGGACUGCCGGUGAUAAGCCGGAGGAAGGUGGGGACGACGUCAAGUCAUCAUGGCCCUUACGGGCUGGGCUACACACGUGCUACAAUGGCGGUGACAAUGGGCAGCCACUCCGCGAGGAGGAGCUAAUCCCUAAAAACCGUCUCAGUUCGGAUUGCACCCUGCAACUCGGGUGCAUGAAGUUGGAAUCGCUAGUAAUCGUGGGUCAGCAUACCACGGUGAAUACGUUCCCGGGCCUUGUACACACCGCCCGUCACACCAUGGGAGUUGGUUCUACCCGAAGGCGCUACGCUAACCGCAAGGAAGCAGGCGACCACGGUAGGGUCAGCGAUCUGGGGUGAAGUCGUAACAAGGUAACCGU